rnacentral:rRNA from 1 species
AACGAACGCUGGCGGCAUGCCUAACACAUGCAAGUCGAACGAGACCUUCGGGUCUAGUGGCGCACGGGUGCGUAACGCGUGGGAACCUUCCUUUAGGGUCGGAAUAACUCAUAGAAAUUUGAGCUAAUACCGGAUGAUGUCUUCGGACCAAAGAUUUAUUGCCUUUAGAUGGUCCCGAGUUGGAUUAGCUAGUUGUUUGGGUAAAGGCUUACCAAGGCGACGAUCCAUAGCUUGGCUGAGAGGCUGGUCAGCCACACUGGGACUGAGACACGGUCCAGACUCAUACGGGAGGGAGCAGUGGGUAAUAGUGGACCACGGGCUAAGGGCUGAUCAACCACUGCCGCGAAAACGCUGUAGGCAUUAGGGAAGUAAAGCGCUGUUAACCGAGAUGAUAGUGACAGUAACGAGAGAAUAAGCCCCGGCUAACUACGUG